rnacentral:tRNA from 1 species
GCCUGGCUGGCUCAGUCAGUAGAGCGUGUGACUCUUGAUCUUGGUGUUGUGAGUUCGAGCCCCAUCCUGGGCA